AGCGCUGGGGUCUCCUUGCCGGUUCUGACGGGCACCCCUCCCUGCACCCUCUCCGGCCCACGCCCCUCUCUGGCUGCAUCCAGAUGGGACUCAGCCGAUCCCCAGGCAGCCUGGUCCCCCAGAGGAGGGAGGAAGGAUCAAGAUAGAGCCCGGGCCCCAGCUCAGCCUCCAGGGAUAUGGGCUGGCUGGGCGGCCACAGGGAAAGGACGAUCGACUAACUUCCCCCCCGCAGACCCCAGCCCAUUUUCUUCUGCCACGCUUUGGCCAACAAAGGCCUCGGGAACUCCAUGGCUUUUGGUAAAGGUGAAGCUCAUUGCCCUCCUGGGCACAGGCUAGGAAAAGCCAGGAGAUGGGGGACCCUUGGAGACCCAGAAAGGAUGCCGCCUGUCUGCGGGACAGCUCCUGGUUAGCACCCUUCUUUAGCUAGGCUAUCUUCUUCAGUCAAGGCCUUAAGCUUGAAGCUCUUUAGGUCCCCAGUCGGUGGCUUCCAAGUCCUACCCCCUUUCCUGCCAGGGCUCCAGGCACUGCCACCCCUCCCCCGCAGCAGUAGGACAAGCCCCUCUUUCCAGGAGGCGGUUGCUAGCUUGCAGGCCCAGGAAUGUUUAGGGUUUGGGGGGGUUUUUUUUGGUACGGGGUAUCAAACUCAGGACCUUGUACUUGCGAGGCAGGAGGCGGCACCACUGAGCUAAAUCCCCGGCCCCCCAGGAAUGUUUAGAACCUGAGGAAGAUCUCAGCAGUUAGUCACCAGGUGCCCCACCUGGGAAAGCUGUAAGGCUGCUCUCUAGGGCACGUUUGCUCUGCAAGGUGCCCUGUGUGGAAGCAGGUGGGGACAGCACGGUCACUAGGUUGCCUCCCCCACGAUGUGUCCUUGGAGUGAGUGAGCAAGUACAAGAAUGCUGAAAGAAGCCAGGCGCAGUGGCACACACCUGUAAUCCCAGCGCUCAGGAGGCUGAUACAGGAGGACCGCUGGGAGUUGGAGGCAGCCUGCGCUACAUAGUGCGUUCAUGGCCAGCCUGAACUACAUAGUGAGACCCUGUCUCAAAAGAAAAGGAAUGCUGAAAGAGAUGCUAAAAGCAGGCCCAGAGCUCACACUCUGCCGCUGCCAGGUGAGGGAGAAAUGAGGGGGCUGGAUCUUGAGUGGCCUUGAAGGACACCUGCCUCUUUCUUUCCCCUGGCUCCUCUCCCACACCAAGUCUCACUCUCACUGGGAGCACUGGGCCUCCACCCCAGAGUGCUGGGGAAGCUACUGUACCAGCCACCCGCCCAGGGCCAUUGAGAUAGGCAUCCUGUGUGGGUUUGUGGCAGGAAAUGGGCCCCUGAUCUCUCAGAGGAGGGGGAGCUGCUGAUGGCCAGCCCCCAGGCUGAUGCGGACCUCCUGACCUCCUUGCCCUACAAGCCAGCUGAGCUGUUUGCCUAGGAGGUGUCGAGGCCGAGCAGCUGUUUGUGUUUGGUGGACAAGCCCGGCUGGGUGAUUGGCUGCAUCAUUUGCCCGAGGCAGCUGUGAUGUGUAAAGUACACGGGCAGUGACCCUGCCUCCCUCCCUCCCUGGCUCCAGAGGGCCCCAUCCCCCAUCCCUCCAUCUGUCCCCUGGCCAGGCAGCAUCUGUAAGGUGUCGUAGGCUCCCCCCACCCCCACCCACUGCCUUGCCCAGGUCUGUCCCAGGGGACAGAGUCUGGGAGGAGCCUGGCCUGGUGGGAGCUCCUUUGAGAGAUGGGGCUCACAGGCCGGCGGUACCUACCCGACCACUCUUCUGAGUCCAAGGGGUCUGUGCCACAUUGCCCUAGCCACUGACAGAUUCUAGAAUGGCCCCCAGGAAAUGGUCCCUCUUCCCUUCUAUCUACUGUGGAGACCAUGCCGCAGAAAGGCUAGGAUAUCUUCCUACAGUCACACAGGCAGCCAUUUAUAAGCCAGGACUACAGCCUUCCACGCUUCUGCUCGGCCCCCAUCUCUCCACAAAGUUAGCCAAUCCCAAUACACUGCACCCCGGGGCAGGGAAGCUUCUGGAUCCAUGGUCAGAUUCAGAGCCUCAAAACUCAUUCAAACCUACUCCCUGCUCGGCCCACUGAACAGUCUAACUGGGCACUGGGAACACCCAGAACUGAGUCUGGACUCCCCCCAGCCUGAGGAGUGCCUGAGUGAAGGGCGCUUCCCCCAUCCCUACCUUUUCUCUGGAGAAGCAGCACCAGGCUGGCAGAUGGCGAAGGGGAGGUCAUUGCCCACCCCCAGACCCCUUCCCUGGAGCCGCUGCCCUCCUUACCUGCAGCAACCCAGCCAUGUCAAUUUGUGACAUUUGUCCCAUGAGUGUGUGUGGAAGGUUUCUGCCAAAAGAACUUCAGUCUCCCCAUCACAGUACAAAUUUCAACCUUCCCUCCUCCAUGCAACCCUUCUAUAAACAAAAUCCCUCUUUAGAUACUUCCAAGUAAAUGCUGUGACUCAAAACGAAACCCAAACAACAGUAAUUUUAGCAUAUGCCUGUGCCAGCGCCAGUGCCCUGCCCCCGUGGGGUCCUGAUAGGCUCCCUUGGGUGGGCAUCCUGGCCAAGGCAUUGUUUCCCCUUCCCAGCCCUGUAGCCCCGCCCACACGUGUACACCUGAGUGGUAAACACACAGAAGGGAGGGAAUCCCUGCAGCAUGCUGUGACACAUAAAUGUGGCUAGUCACAUGUGGCCAUAGUCAUUCAAAUAUGAGGCUCUCUGGGGCCCCUGAGGACAUUUAGAGGUCUCAACUUGGGCUUCCAGGAUAUUGGACAGGGCCAGGAGGGUCAGGUGAGCCAGGAAUCAUGGAGAGACAGGGAGAGGACAGCAGCAGGCUCCCCAGAGGCAGGUGCCACAAGGUGCUGUGGGCAUCCUUUGCUGUCUGGCCUCUCCUCUCCUCUGAUCCUCUUUCCAGAUUGUCUCUCCCUGGAAUCCCAGAACCCCCUGCAUCCCCCAGUCUCCAUUAACUGCCUCUGCCCCAUCUCCUAGGUGAUGCUUCUGGGAGACUCGGGUGUCGGCAAAACCUGUUUCCUGAUUCAAUUCAAAGACGGGGCCUUCCUGUCCGGGACCUUCAUAGCCACGGUCGGCAUAGACUUCAGGAACAAGGUGGUGACGGUGGAUGGUGCAAGGGUGAAGUUACAGAUCUGGGACACCGCAGGGCAGGAGCGCUUCCGCAGUGUCACCCACGCCUACUACCGAGAUGCCCAGGCCUUGCUCCUGCUGUAUGACAUCACCAACAAAUCUUCCUUCGACAACAUCAGGGCCUGGCUCACCGAGAUUCAUGAAUACGCCCAGAGGGACGUGGUGAUCGUGCUGCUAGGCAACAAGGUGCGUGGCUGUGUGGCAGGGUCCGCCCCCCCUGCCCCUCCUCUCCCAUUGCCUAGGCAUCAGGCUCAGCCAAGAAUAGUUAGACGUCCUUUCAUAGAGGACCCCCUGGUCUCCACUUCGGGAGUCAGACACAUGCUCUCCCAGAGCCCUCUUAAAGCUUUGGAAAUAGCCCCGCCCAGAGAAACCCCAAGCUGCUGCCUGGGAGGGUUCCCCCAGUGCCGGCCCACCUUAGAUCAUAGGGAGUGGGGUCAGGGGCUAGUACUGUCACCACCCCCGUCCCUACAGGUAGGUCACCACACCUUGGCCAACAAGAGUUACCUACCUAAAACAGGGAGACAUCCUGGCCCCUAGCCAAUCACACCUGCCAGCAGUCCCUCAGGCCACCAGCAGAGGGCAGGCAGUACAUGCUCCCGGGGCAAAAGACCGCCAGCUGGGGUCAAGGGUCCCCUCCCCAGAGUGACCCACAUGGGCUUGACAGGCGGAUGUGAGCAGCGAGAGGGUGAUCCGUUCGGAGGACGGAGAGACUCUGGCCAGGGAAUACGGCGUUCCCUUCAUGGAGACCAGCGCCAAGACCGGCAUGAACGUGGAGUUAGCCUUCCUGGCCAUUGCCAAGGAGCUGAAACAUCGGGCAGGGCGGCAGGCUAAUGAGCCCAGCUUCCAG